rnacentral:tRNA from 1 species
GCCUCUGUAGCUCAAUGGAAGAGCAACUCCGUCCUAAGGAGCAGGUUGGGGGUUCGAGUCCCUCCAGGGGCACCG